AAACUUUCAACAACGGAUCUCUUGGUUCUCGCAUCGAUGAAGAGCGCAGCGAAAUGCGAUAAUUAAUGUGAAUUGCAGAUUUUCGUGAAUCAUCGAGUUCUUGAACGCACAUUGCGCCCUCUGGUAUUCCGGAGGGCAUGUCUGUUUGAGCGUCAUU
rnacentral:rRNA from 2 species